CGGUGAUCGAUCCAUUUCUCCGGUGGACGUAAAAUACGUGCUUCUAAGAUGGCACUGAGCCAGAUGAAGGUUAUUGAGUUGGAGGAAGGAUGGGAAUUUAUGCAGAGGGGAAUCACUAAAUUGAAGAAAAUUUUAGAAGGACAACAACAUUCUUUCAGCUCUGAAGAGUACAUGAUGCUCUACACAACUAUAUAUAACAUGUGCACACAGAAGCCGCCAAAUGAUUACUCACAACAGUUGUAUGAGAAGUACAGGGAAGCAUUUGUAGAAUAUAUCAGUUCUACAGUUCUGCCUGCUUUACGAGAGAGGCACGAUGAGUUUAUGUUGAGGGAGUUUGUGAAAAGAUGGGCGAAUCACAAACUUAUGGCUAGGUGGCUCUCACGGUUCUUCCAU
rnacentral:misc_RNA from 1 species